rnacentral:rRNA from 3 species
UACGGAGGGUGCAAGCGUUAUCCGGAUUCACUGGGUUUAAAGGGUGCGUAGGUGGGCAGGUAAGUCAGUGGUGAAAUCUCCGGGCUUAACCCGGAAACUGCCAUUGAUACUAUCUGUCUUGAAUACCGUGGAGGUGAGCGGAAUAUGUCAUGUAGCGGUGAAAUGCUUAGAUAUGACAUAGAACACCAAUUGCGAAGGCAGCUCACUACGCGAAUAUUGACACUGAGGCACGAAAGCGUGGGGAUCAAACAGG